GUGCUUCCUUCAGCUGCACAUAUACUAAAACUGGACCAAUACAGAGAAAAUUGGCAUGGUCCCUGUGCAAGGAUGACAUGCAAGUUCAUGAAGCAUUACAUGUUUAA
ensembl:snRNA U6 U6 spliceosomal RNA